GUAUAUUGAUACUUUAACCUGUUAUUUAGCCAUUAAUGCUUCUUAUGUGCUUGCUCUGUUUUGUUAUUAAAAAUGAAACUGAUCCAAUACAUUCUGCAUUGAUUUAAAUUUAAACUGCAUUGAUGUAAACUAAACUUUCAUGAUUGAUCCGAGAUUCCUCUGAUGCUAAUGUCAUACUUUUUCUUUAUGUGGACCUUUAAAGGGCCAUAUGUGGGGGGAAAAAGGGGGGAAAAGAAUUGGAGGAGUCUUCAUGUUCAUGGCCAUCUAGCAUUGAAAAUUAAAAGUCAGAUUCUCAGAU
rnacentral:misc_RNA from 1 species